rnacentral:rRNA from 1 species
UACGUAGGGUGCGAGCGUUGUCCGGAAUUACUGGGCGUAAAGAGCUCGUAGGUGGUUUGUCGCGUUGUCCGUGAAAACUCACAACUCAAUUGUGGGCGUGCGGGCGAUACGGGCAGACUGGAGUACUGCAGGGGAGACUGGAAGUUCCUGGUGGUAGCGGUGGAAUGCGCAGAUAUCAGGAGGAACACCGGUGGCGAAGGCGGCUCUCUGGGAGCGGUACUGACGGCUGAGACGCGAAAGCGUGGGGAGCGAACAGGG